rnacentral:rRNA from 1 species
UACGAAGGGGGCUAGCGUUGUUCGGAAUGACUGGGCGUAAAGGGCGCGUAGGUGGUCAUCUACGUCUGAUGUGAAAGUCUAGGGCUCAACCUUAGGAUGGCAUUGGAAACGAGAUGACUAGAGUGCGAGAGAGGAACUUGGAAUUGCUUGUGUAGAGGUGAAAUUCGUAGAUAUAAGCAAGAACACCAAAGGCGAAGGCAUGGUUCUGGCUCGUAACUGACACUGAGGCGCGAAAGCGUGGGGAGCAAACAGG